AACCCUGAUUAACACAAAUGUCUGGAAUGCAGAUAGAUGAGAUCAACAAAUAAUAUUAAACCCCAUUCCUGCAUUCCCACAUGUAUCUCUCUAUUACAGCAUAUUCCAGGACAUGAGCGUCAUAAGGAAGUGGUUUAUUUCUCCUUUUGUUGUCUAUAUAAACCUCUGUGAGGACAGAAAUUCUGCAGGUGAGACAAGAUGGAGUUUGGAUUCGUGAUAUUUUUGCUCAGCUCUGCUCUUUUCGGGCACAGCUCUGGAUUCACAACACCUGAUGCCACACCGUACUGGGACAUAACAACAGGUGGAGCUCCAUGUGGUGGAACUCUGACUCAGUCACAAGGGGAAUUUUUCAGCCCCAAUUAUCCCAAUAAUUAUCCCAAUUAUG
ensembl:lncRNA